rnacentral:rRNA from 1 species
UACGUAGGAUCCAAGCGUUAUCCGGAAUCAUUGGGCGUAAAGCGUGUGUAGGCUUUUUGCCGCAUCUUCUGUUAAAUCCCCGGGCUCAACUCGGGAACUGUGGAAGAGAUGGGCAGAAUAGAGGUACAAAGAGGCAGAUGGAAUUGAUGGUGUAGCAGUGAAAUGCGUAGAUAUCGGGAGGAACACCUGUGGCGAAAGCGGCGCACUGGACCACAACUGACGCUGAGGCGCGAAAGCUAGGGGAGCAAACAGG